CUGCUUGUGGCGGUAGAUGUAAAUAAACAGUGGAGCGGCUGCAAAAGAGCCGCCUCGCUGGGUAAAAUCAGGGUGUGCCGCGGAACCCGCUCCUCAGUCGGUCAACUUUGGAAGCGCGGGCAACGCAGGUGCUAUCGUCUUAAAGGGUCGGCUGCAACCGACC
rnacentral:sRNA from 1 species